UACGAAUGGGGCAAGCGUUGUUCGGAAUCACUGGGCGUAAAGCGCACGCAGGCGGAUUUAUAAGUCAGGGGUGAAAUCCCGGGGCUCAACCUCGGAACUGCCUUUGAUACUGCAAGUCUGGAGUCCGGAAGAGGUGAGUGGAAUUCCUAGUGUAGAGGUGAAAUUCGUAGAUAUUAGGAAGAACACCAGUGGCGAAGGCGGCUCACUGGUCCGGUACUGACGCUGAGGUGCGAAAGCGUGGGGAGCAAACAGG
rnacentral:rRNA from 1 species